rnacentral:rRNA from 1 species
GAUGAACGCUGGCGGCGUGCCUAAUACAUGCAAGUCGAGCGAACAGACGAGGAGCUUGCUCCCCUGACGUUAGCGGCGGACGGGUGAGUAACACGUGGAUAACCUACCUAUAAGACUGGGAUAACUUCGGGAAACCGGAGCUAAUACCGGAUAAUAUAUUGAACCGCAUGGUUCAAUAGUGAAAGACGGUUUUGCUGUCACUUAUAGAUGGAUCCGCGCCGCAUUAGCUAGUUGGUAAGGUAACGGCUUACCAAGGCGACGAUGCGUAGCCGACCGGAGAGGGGAUACGGCACACUGGGACUUAAACACCGGCCCGACCCCUACGGGAGGGAGGCGUAGGGAAAUUUGCCGAAUGGGGGGAAACCUUACCGAGCAACGGCGGGGGGGGGAAGAAGGGCCUCGGAUCGUAAAACUCUGUUAUUAGGGAAGAACAAAUGUGUAAGUAACUAUGCACGUCUUGACGGUACCUAAUCAGAAAGCCACGGCUAACUACGUG